rnacentral:rRNA from 1 species
CGGCAAUGGAGGAAACUCUGACCGAGCAACGCCGCGUGAAUGACGAAGUACUUCGGUAUGUAAAGUUCUUUUAUCAAGGAAGAAAAGCAAAUGGCGAACCAUUUGUUUGCCGGUACUUGAUGAAUAAGCCCCGGCUAAUUAUGUGCCAGCAGCCGCGGUAAGACAUAAGGGGCAAGUGUUAUCCGGAAUUAUUGGGCGUAAAGGGUGCGUAGGCGGUCUAGUAAGUCAGUGGUGUAAUGGCAACGCUUAACGUUGUCCGGCUAUUGAAACUGCUAAACUUGAGUUAGAUAGAGGCGAGUGGAAUUCCAUGUGUAGCGGUUAAAUGCGUAAAUAUAUGGAGGAACACCAGAGGCGUAGGCGGCUCGCUGGGUCUUAACUGACGCUGAGGCACGAAAGCGUGGGGAGCAAACAGGAUUAGAUACCCUGGUAGUCCACGCCGUAAACGAUGAGUACUAAGUGUCGGGUUAAACCGGUACUGAAGUUAACACAUUAAGUACUCCGCCUGAGUAGUACGUACGCAAGUAUGAAACUUAAAGGAAUUGACGGGACUCCCCACAAGCGGUGGAUCAUGUUGUUUAAUUUGAAGAUACCCGAAAAACCUUACCAGGUCUUGACAUGUUUUUGCAAAAUGAUAGUAAUAUCGUGGAGGUUACCAGAAACACAGGUGGUGCAUGGUUGUCGUCAGCUCGUGUCGUGAGAUGUUAGGUUAAGUCCUAAAACGAGCGAAACCCUUAUCGUUAGUUGCCAGCACGUUAUGGUGGGGACUUUAACGAGACUGCCAAUGAUAAAUUGGAGGAAGGUGAGGAUCACGUCAAAUCAGCAUGCCCCUUAUGACCUGGGCUACAAACGUGAUACAAUGGCUGUUACAAAGAGUAGCUGAA